rnacentral:lncRNA from 1 species
AUAUCGAGACGGCCGGGUGGGGGCGAGGCGACGAGCGCUCUCUCUCUCUCUCUCUCGCUCUCUCGCUGGCUCGCCGUUCUCUGGCUUUUAAAGAAGAGAAGGCGGACGGUAAAAAAAGCUCUCGCUGGCUCUAUUUCGUACCCUUGAAAGCUCGGGCUUCUUUUAUCGUUGUCGCUUCAUUAGAAGGAUUUUGUCUUCCUCUUCCCCUCGAGCGAGCGGGUGAUCUCGGAAAGGUAUGGAUCUUUACCCCCAUUCCUUUGGUCUUCUUGGAAUUAAAUCGGCGUAAUCUUGCGUUUCUUCUCGGAUUUUCGAACCAAAUAAGGGUUCUUUUCUGGUUGUUAUGCUGAUUUUGGAUUUCCUAUUUUCUUGAUCAGUUUUAAGGGUUUUCUUUCUCUUUGCCGAUGGAAAUAGGUGGCUUUCGGCUCGGAUUAUGUAAUGUGGAAGUAUCUGGUGUUGAUUUCAGUCGGAUCUUUAAACCCAGGUUUUUCUGUACGGAUCUUCCU